AGCCGGAUGACUGAGUGGCCUAAGGUGUCUGACUUGAAAUCAGAAGUAGUCUCAUAACUACCAUGAGUUCGAAUCUCAUUCCGGCGU
rnacentral:tRNA from 1 species